rnacentral:rRNA from 1 species
UACGGAGGAUGCAAGCGUUAUCCGGAUUUAUUGGGUUUAAAGGGUGCGCAGGUUGUUUGAUAAGUCAGUGGUGAAAGUCUGUCGCUUAACGGUAGGAUUGCCAUUGAUACUGUUGGACUUGAAUAUGGAUGAGGUAGGCGGAAUGUGUAGUGUAGCGGUGAAAUGCAUAGAUAUUACACAGAACACCGAUUGCGAAGCCAGCUUACUAAUCCAUCAUUGACGCUGAGGCACGAAAGCGUGGGGAGUCAAACA